CAAAAAUAACGAUACGGGACUCAUCCGAGGCCCCGUAAUCGGAAUGAGUACACUCUAAACCCUUUAACGAGGAUCAAUUGGAGGGCAAGUCUGGUGCCAGCAGCCGCGGUAACACCAGCUCCAAUAGCGUAUAUUAAAGUUGUUGCGGUUAAAAAGCUCGUAGUCGAAUUUGUGUCCCGCGCCGCCGGUUCAUCGCUCGCGGUGUUAACUGGCGUGUCCGCGGGACGUCCUGCCGGUGGGCUAAGCUCUCGGGCGGCCCAAUCUCAAUCCCACCGCGGUGCUCUUUACUGAGUGUCGAGGUGGGCCGGCACGUUUACUUUGAACAAAUUAGAGUGCUUAAAGCAGGCUAAAAUAUCGCCUGAAUACUGUGUGCAUGGAAUAAUGGAAUAGGACCUCGGUUCUAUUUUGUUGGUUUUCGGAACCCCGAGGUAAUGAUUAAUAGGAACGGAUGGGGGCAUUCGUAUUGCGACGUUAGAGGUGAAAUUCUUGGAUCGUCGCAAGACGGACAGAAGCGAAAGCAUUUGCCAAAAACGUUUUCAUUGAUCAAGAACGAAAGUUAGAGGUUCGAAGGCGAUCAGAUACCGCCCUAGUUCUAACCAUAAACGAUGCCAGCUAGCGAUCCGCCGACGUUCCUCCGAUGACUCGGCGGGCAGCUUCCGGGAAACCAAAGCUUUUGGGAUCCGGGGGAAGUAUGGUUGCAAAGCUGAAACUUAAAGGAAUUGACGGAAGGGCACCACCAGGAGUGGAGCCUGCGGCUUAAUUUGACUCAACACGGGAAACCUCACCAGGCCCGGACACCGGAAGGAUUGACAGAUUGAGAG
rnacentral:rRNA from 1 species